GCUAUCGCUAUGACGGGCACAAGUAGUACUGCGAACGACGCUUUCAGAGAACCGGUGGACGGUGCGAACCGGUACGCGGCGCAGCAUGAAUUACCGCCUUGAGCUGAACGGGGGAAAGCGGGCCGGUCCCACUGGGGGCAGUGUCCGGCCGGUAGCCCGUUUCCGGAAGCAUCCGCUUCCGUUAUCAAUAAUGAAGUGAGAGCCUAAUCUGCCCCGGCAGCGGCUCUAACGAGGGUGGUACCGCGAGCAAAUCCUUCUCGUCCCUUGA
rnacentral:ncRNA from 1 species